rnacentral:rRNA from 1 species
CUCCGUGAAGCUGGAUUCGCUAGUAAUCGCGCAUCAGCCAUGGCGCGGUGAAUACGUUCCCGGGCCUUGUACACACCGCCCGUCAAGCCAUGGGAGCCGGGGGCACUUGAAGUACGCCGCCGCGAGGAGCGUCCUAGAGUGAAACUGGUGACUGGGCUAAGUCGUAACAAGGUAAC